rnacentral:rRNA from 1 species
CGCAGGGAUUGGGGUUGUGCCGCUCGUCUACCACAGAUAACACCUCCCCAGGUUAUCUUUGCCACGAAGGCAGCACGCGACCUCCCUCUCUCUCGUUUCCUCUCCCGCAUAUCCCUCCGCCUCCGCCGCCAGGAGCGUCUCCACACCAACGUCGUCGUCUCGAGGCGGGAGUGGGUGGGAGGAGAAGACGGCGGCGGCGCACACGGAGAAAAGAGGAAGAGCGCCGGCCUUGGUCCACGCGACGACGGCCGUGAACUGCGCCUCCACCAGUGUAUGCGCGACGGUGCGCGCUCUCUUCUAGGUCGCCCCUCCACUCUUUCUGCCCCUCCUUUUCAUCUCUCACACGCAGGCCCCUCUCUCGUUUGGCUUCACAUUCCCUGCUAGGGUUGCUGCCGCCAUCGCUCCUCCGGCGCUGGCCAUGCUCCCUCGUAGCAAAGUGCGGCGCUGCUUCUCCACACAGCCGUGUCGGCAAGGCGGCGGCAAGACCGAGAAGGUGGGCGGCGAUGCGAGCUCUCGUCCCGUGGAAGCCAUGGGAGGACGAGGUCGAUGCGGUCGUCGGCGCGUCCUCCGCUGCGGGAGGCCAUGAGCGAAACGAAGGAGGCGUCGUCAGCUGCGUGCCCGACCUCGCCACGGACGCCAGCGAGGCCAACCUCCCCUUCACCUCUGACCGGCAGGUUGCUGCCAUGGAACCAUGUUGACCUGAGCUAUGUGCCACCAUGGUAUCCUGCUCUUUUGUUUGUUUGAUCCAAUUGGUAUCGGUUCGAGUGUGUGAUGGAAUGGAGAUGAAAGAUCGUGACGACACUGACGGUGUACCGCGUCCACAGGUCAGUGGUGCCGCCUCUGGUUUCUUCCCCAUCAAUCCCAGACAUCGCUUGUACGCUUGCAUAAGUAGUUUGCCGCUCUCAAUUCUCACUCUAACUCUCUUGUCAUUCUUCUCUCUGUUUUCCUAUGAGGUGAGGAGAUUAGGCACAGGCUUGUUGUUGCUUUGCUGUACCAAAUUGGAACCAAUGAUGAAAAGAGAAGCAUGUUUUCUGUCGGAUAUUCAAAAUGGAUCCCAGCAGCAUAUGGUCCUUCAUGUAAAAGAUAAUUUUGUGAAUGCCAAGAAGUAAAAAAACAUUUGUAUGUUUGUGUCCUUUGGGACCCGUACAGACAAAUGGGAAGCUGCACCCAUUACCACAUAAAUGUAAAUUUUACAUGCCGGUCGAUUUGGGAAUCAGUUGUCCCAAUAAGAUGUGCUUAUACUCAUGUAGUUUACACUGAAUAAGAAGCUUCAGGUCACAUUGCUAUCUACAGUAUGUGCAACUUGGCUUCAGAUGUAUUUCAUUUUGAGAUUUCCACUAUAAAGAUUGCAUGCUAUAAACAUACAUGAUUCCCUGCCCUAAUGUUUGAAAAUUCUCCGGUUUGGACCAACUAAUUGAUGGGAAUUACAAUUCUCAACACAUCUAGAAAUAGAGGAGGCAAUAAUAAUUCUUCAGUGUUGUUGCCCCACAGUCACUCGUUUGACACUUUAUUGGAUAACAAAUACCAUGUUCUCUCUUAGAGCCACGUUUGCCCACUUAAUUUUUAGGACUGUUAGUACUUCAUUUGUGAUAGGCAUAUACAUUCUGGGACUCAAUGGGCACUUUGUGAACAGUUCAUUGGUUUGUGAAUUUGUGAUAGGCAUAUAAAUUCAGUGUAGAGAAUCAGCCAAAUGAAUUCAGUGUGCAAAAUCUGUUAACAUGAUGAUAUUUUUUUGAAAUGACGACUGAAUUUCUCAGCACUGCUGUGGUAGUAGAAACCGCGUAUAAAGAUGAUUUCUGAAGUGCUGAUGAUUUAUACGCGUAUAAACCGCGUAUAAAGAUGUUUUCUCAGCACAGCCGCAUCGAAAGUUGGCCAGCAAUGUUGAUUUCUGAAGUCAAUCAACUCCAUUCUCCUCAUGUCUCCACCUAACAAGGCAAGGAAGGAAGAAAGAAAGAAGACUCCGAUUUUGUUUCAUGGGGAGAAUUGACUUAAGAUAUCAGUAUUAGCUUUGUUAAGAUCAGGAUAAUUUUCUCUUGUCAAUUUCUCUUAUUUUUCAUUCUCUUGUCAAUAUAUCUGUAGUGGUUAAUACCGUCAAAUGGCCCUCACUAUACCUGAAGUUUGAGCUAUCGUACUAGAUAAGUAGAUUAUUCUUGUUGUUUUUUGCAUGAAAAAUUAGCACUUGAGAUUCACAUUUACGCUGUUUCUGGAAUUAGGGGGAACCGGGGAAGUCCUUGCAUUGAAUAAGAAUAUUGUCUUAAACAUACACCUGCCAUAAAUAC